rnacentral:rRNA from 1 species
AAUCAACGCUGGCGGCGUGCCUCAGACAUGCAAGUCGAACGAUUAAAGCUCUCUUCGGAGAGUGUAUAGAGUGGCGCACGGGUGAGUAACACGUAAGUAAUCUACCCUCGAGUGGGGAAUAACGUCCGGAAACGGACGCUAAUACCGCAUAAUGCAGCGGCACCGCAAGGUGACAGUUGUUAAAGAUUUAUCGCUUGAGGAGGAGCUUGCGGCAGAUUAGCUAGUUGGUAAGGUAAUGGCUUACCAAGGCUACGAUCUGUAACCGGUCUAAGAGGACGGUCGGUCACACUGACACUGAAUAACGGGUCAGACUCCUACGGGAGGCAGCAGUCGGGAAUUUGGGCAAUGGGCGAAAGCCUGACCCAGCAACGCCGCGUGAAGGAUGAAGUAUUUCGGUAUAGUAAACUUCGAAAGAAUAGGAAGAAUAAAUGACGGUACUAUUUAUAAGCUCCGGCUAACUACGUGCCAGCCGCCGC